CUAAAAAUACAAAAUUAGCCGGGCAUGGUGACAUAUGCCUGUAAUCCCAGCUACUCGGGAGGCCAAGGCAGGAGAAUCGCUUGAACCCAGGAGGCGGAGGUUGUGGCGAGCCAUGAUCGCGCUGUUGCACUCCAGCCUGGGCAACAAGAGCGAAACUCCAUCUCAAAAAAAAAACAAAAGACAAAACAAACAAAAAAAAACCUUUUAUCUUCUGAUUUAAUGUGGCAAAUAUGAGAAGAAAUUGAAAUGCCAACCAAAAUGCCAUUGUAGAGUUUAUAAUCCCAUGUUUUUUGGCCGUCCCCUGUUACCUCUCCUAGAUAAACAGGAGUUGAAUGUCUUGUGUCCUGAUUUUUAUGGUCUCUUAGUUACUACAAUAACAAGAUCACUCAAUCCCGUGGAGUCUGUCCUAUUACAGAAUAUCAAUGUUCACUCUGCUUUUUCUUUAUUUCAUCUAUCAGCAGUGAAUAGCACUUUCAUGUUUAAGAUGCUUCCUUUUAAAGUUGGAGAAUAAGAAUAAAUGUAUUGGACGGCUUUGUUUAGUAGCAGCAUUGUCCUUUAGAUCCACUGAGGAAUCUUAAGAAUGAAAUCAUCAUAAAUAGGCAAAUAGGUAAUGUUUCAGUAAAUACUUGUGGCGACUAUGUUUCCUUUUUAACCAAGAGCCCAGUAAAAUUUGUAAUUACUUCAACUGAAUGAGAACACAAGGCCAUUUCAUGUCCUCAAUCUUUGUUGAUAUGCUUUGCUUAUUUUAAUGGCUUGCAUGCAUUUUUUAUUGUGCUGUUGAUAAUAGUUUUACAUAAUUCAUAAUGAUACACAAUAAAAGUUUCAUUGCGUUCAC
rnacentral:lncRNA from 10 species